UACGGAGGGUGCAAGCGUUAUCCGGAUUUACUGGGUUUAAAGGGUGCGUAGGUGGGUCUGUAAGUCAGUGGUGAAAUCUCCGGGCUUAACCCGGAAACUGCCAUUGAUACUAUAGGUCUUGAAUUAUCUGGAGGUGAGCGGAAUAUGUCAUGUAGCGGUGAAAUGCUUAGAUAUGACAUAGAACACCAAUUGCGAAGGCAGCUCGCUACACGAAUAUUGACUCUGAGGCACGAAAGCGUGGGGAGCAAACAGGA
rnacentral:rRNA from 1 species